ACCGGGGUGCUCCUGGGGUGCAGAGGAUUCGUGGCAGCACGGAGAGUCCGAGGGAAAGGUGACUUUGGAAAGGUUCCAGCAUUUGGAGGCAAACAUGAAGCUCCAUCCUCUCCAAUUCUGGGGCAACCGUGUGGAGAUGAUCAAAAUGCUUCACCUUCAAAACUUUCAAAGGAAGAGUUAAUACAGAGUAUGGAUCGUGUAGAUCGAGAAAUUGCAAAAGUAGAACAGCAGAUCCUUAAACUGAAAAAGAAACAAGUAAAAGUCUUUGCCUAAUAUAUUCUAAGAAUGUAUUUUUU
rnacentral:lncRNA from 10 species